rnacentral:rRNA from 1 species
GUCAAAUGCUUAUAUCUGUAACAUUGAGCUGUGAUGGGGAGCGAAGUUUAGUAGCGAAGUUAGUGACGUCACACUGCCAAGAAAAGCUUCUAGCGUUUAAACAUACUCUACCCGUACCGCAAACCGACACAGGUAGUCGAGGCGAGUAGCCUCAGGUGAGCGAGAGAACUCUCGUUAAGGAACUCGGCAAAAUGACCCCGUAACUUCGGGAGAAGGGGUGCCACUGCUGGUGAACGACGUGUUGAGCUGGUGGUGGUCGCAGAGAAUAGAGGGAAGC